rnacentral:rRNA from 1 species
GUACGGAAGGCAGCAGUGGGGAAUCUUGCGCAAUGGCCUAACGGCUGACGCAGCGACGCCGCGUGAGGGAUGACGCUCUUCGGAGUGUAAACCUCUUUUGCCCGGGACGAAUUGCCAACUUCAGUUGGCUUGACGGUACCGGGUGAAUAAGCACCGGCUAACUCCGUGCCAGCAGCCGCGGUAAUACGGGGGGUGCGAGCGUUGUCCGGAAUCACUGGGCGUAAAGGGCGCGUAGGUGGUCUUAUAAGGGUGUGGUGAAAGCCCGGGGCUCAACCCCGGGUCGGCCGUGCCGACUGUAAGACUAGAGUGCUGUAGGGGCAGGCGGAAUUCCGGGUGUAGCGGUGGAAUGCGUAGAGAUCCGGAGGAAGACCGGUGGCGAAGGCGGCCUGCUGGGCAGUUACUGACACUGAGGCGCGACAGCGUGGGGAGCAAACAGGAUUAGAUACCCCGGUAGC